UAAAUUACGAAGCCUUGGUGCUUGCCUCAGAUGAGCAGGUAGCCGGAUCCAUGGGCGCUAGAGUCAGUGCCGACGGCGCGUCAAGCCUUCUCCUCCUACACAUGCGAUUGAAAUAUUGGCGGACACAGUAGAGGUGCUGCCAUCAUCACGAGAGAAACCUACAAUAUAGACUUGUGUUGUUUGAUUGGGCGAGCGCUUUUUCUUGUGUGCUCUUUCGGGUCACUGGAUGGAAACAUCAAACAUGUAUAAAUGAGUGUGUAGUACUACAAAAAAGGCAUAGGUUGCCUACAAGGGGGCUAUUAUGAAUAAUGGAUAUGGUAAUACUAACAAAGAAAGUACAGAGCAUGCAUGACCCACGCAGAAAGUACCUAGAUAGAUCUUUAAUUACCAGCAAACCAUAGUAGUAGACCAACACUAAGUAGAAUUUCUUCACACUGGAUACUAGUACUGAAUAAUACAAAUACUCCUACUUACAUUUUGGCACUGAAUAAUACAAAUGCUCCUAAUUACCGGCAAACCAUAGUAGUAGCAGCAAGUCAAAUAUAACUCAGUAGGUUGCACUGAAAUGGUGUGGCACAAAGCAAGCAAGCAAGUCAAUAGGUAAGUAAGGCAGCAAUGUUUUUAUUUAUCUAACAUUUCACAUCAACUGCAUGAUAACUGCACAUGUAUACUUUGGGCAAAUAUACUUACUUAGAGAUACAUUUUUUACUGGUAUAUGACACAUGAUGUAUCCAUAUCGGAGUAACAAUUUUUUUUUGUGUAACCGAUGACGUCAACAAGACGAGUAGAGCUGUUAUGCAAGGAACAUCGAAUUUAACCAUGAUAAAAUAUUUGUCAGCUCACUCAAACUAUUACCAUAUCAUAGUAAUGGAGCCAUUUAUGCAUGUACAUCUGCAAUUAGGAAAGCGAACCUAUGGCAGUAGACCUAACUCAUCGGUUAUAAUACAACCAUGUGUUGACUAUAACUUUGGCAAAUCAUCUCAAAGUCGCAAGAAGGUGCAAGAAUUGUGUAAUGCUUAUGCUGCAAUGUGUGUGUGACAGUGUGAGUGUGUGAAGCAUGUCAAAAUCUGAAAGCUGGGCCAUGAAGAAUAGGCCGACCUAAACAAAAUGGAGUACCAGUAGGAGCAGCCCACUCUCACUACCGCUGUGGCCGCACCUGUCGGAGUGUUCGCUGGUUGAACCGAGA
rnacentral:lncRNA from 1 species